rnacentral:rRNA from 1 species
UACAGAGGUCUCAAGCGUUGUUCGGAUUCAUUGGGCGUAAAGGGUGCGUAGGCGGCGCGGUAAGUCGGGUGUGAAAUUUCGGAGCUUAACUCCGAAACUGCAUUCGAUACUGCUGUGCUUGAGGACUGGAGAGGAGACUGGAAUUUACGGUGUAGCGGUGAAAUGCGUAGAUAUCGUAAGGAAGACCAGUGGCGAAGGCGGGUCUCUGGACAGUUACUGACGCUGAGGCACGAAGGCCAGGGGAGCAAACGGG